UACGAACCGUGCGAACGUUAUUCGGAAUCACUGGGCUUAAAGCGCGUGUAGGCGGGACGGCACGUCGGUCGCUGAAAUCCCCCGGCUUAACCGGGGAACGGGCGUCGAUACGACCGUCCUGGAGGGGCGUAGGGGGACCUGGAACUUCCGGUGGAGCGGUGAAAUGCGUUGAGAUCGGAAGGAACGCCCGUGGCGAAAGCGAGGUCCUGGACGCCUACUGACGCUGAGACGCGAAAGCCAGGGGAGCGAACGGG
rnacentral:rRNA from 1 species